ACGAAAAAUAAAAUAUAUAUUGGACUGUACUGGUAAUAUAGGUCAGUCACGAAAAAUAAAAUAUAUAUUGGACUGUACUGGUAAUAUAGGUCAGUCACGAAAAAUGAAAUAUAUAUUGGACUGUACUGGUAAUAGAGGUCGGUCACGAAGAAUAGAAUGAUAUUGGACUGUACUGGUAAUAGAGGUCAGUCAAAAAAAUAUAUAUAUAUUGGACUGUACUGGUAAUAUAGGUCAGUCACGAAAAUAUCUGAAAGUCUGUGCCCCAUUGUUGACGAAUAUAAUAUCGUGAGGACUUUAUCAAUAGUCACGGUCCCUGGCCCCUCCCACAUAAAAAUCAUUAGCAAGGUCACUGCAGGCAAUAGCUUCAGCAUUGUUUUUGUAUAAACAUGUCUUAAACAUUAUGAACGGCCCUAUUUGUGGGGUACAUUGGGUUCUUGCUGGGGUAAUGAUGUCCAUGUCCGAUUCUGCGUUAGUGGACUUGUAAAUCAGUCCAGCAGUGACAUUGCGUUUUGUGGACAUGUAAGUCUGUCCCGCAGUACCAAGUUUCACCCCAGCAAUUGCCAAUAAGACCUGCACGUGACCUUAAAGUAAAUAGCUAUGCAAGUGUGAUCGAGACAAAACGCGAUGUAUGCAUUGGAAGAAGGAAAUCUGCGAAGAGUAAGUAGCUGGAACUGUCUGUCCAGCUCUCGUUUAUGAAACAAUGGGCGAUUUGAAAGACGUCUCCUGAACAGAUCGCCCAUUGUUCACUAAAGCAGCAUUCGAAUUGUCUCCAAUUUUUUCAGGUGGAUUGCUCCAUCUCGUGUGGUAUCACUGUCCCGUCCCAAGAAUCGAGCAAACACGACCGAGGCCACUUCUGAGAAAUGAAUAUUCAGGAUGCCAGAUUCGUGGAACACAAUUGAGGCCAGUACUCAAGAGCCAUGAUCAGGGAACAGCAGUUCCCAACGGAAUUGACCCUUUUCUUGUUGUAAUUCAUGCUGUUGGCUCAGAAUGAGUUGACACUCACCUGUUUUCGACCCUGAAAAUUAAACAUCGAACAUUGUUACUCUUUGUUAAAUGUGAACCUUGCAAAAUAAUGUGCUUAUUCCUGAAAUCAAUAGCACUUCAUGUAUGUACUCGCUGAUCCAGAAUAUUGCUAUUUCUUGUUCCGUUUUCAAUGUGGCAAUCCAUUUACCGUAUCUGAGCUAUUUCACAGCACCAGAAGUGCAACAUUACAACUGCAAUGGAGCUAUUUCUUGAUCACAGCAAAAAUGUGUUUCUACAUUGUUUUAUUCAAAUGAUGCAUGAAUGAACCUUAUUGACAUAUUUGUUUUUAAGAGGAAUUGGUUGUAGGUUUUCUUUCUUUUUUCUUAAGGCAGGCCUAAUUUAACAGAAGGCCUAUAUUUUAGGUAGGAUAUUAUUUAUACUAUAGGCCCAUAUCAGUUUUGAGA